rnacentral:rRNA from 1 species
CCAGGUUGAUUCUGCCUGACGUAGACGCUAUACUCUAAGAUUAACCCAUGCAUGUCAUUGAAUAAUUGAAAAGACGAACAGCUCAGUAACUCUUAUUUAAUUUGAUGUAUUAGGAUUCUAACUAUGUUAAAUUAUAGGUAACAAUAAUACAAUAAGAAUAAGAUCUAUCAGUUAGUUGUUAAGGUAAUGGCUUAACAAGACCGUGACGGAUAACGGUAUUACUUUGUAAUAUUCCGGAGAAGGAGCCUGAGAGAUUGCUACUAAGUCUAAGGAUUGCAGCAGGGGCGAAACUUGACCUAUGAUAUUUUAUUGAGGCAGUUAUGAGUAGUAUUUUAUAAUUAUUGUAAUAUUGUAAGUAUAUAUUACAAGAUAAAUCGGAGGGCAAAUCGAGUGCCAGCAGCCGCGGUAAUACUUGUUCCGAUAGUGUGUAUGAUGAUUGAUGCAGUUAAAAAGUCUGUAGUUUAUAUUUAAUAAACAUAGUGAGGUAUAUUGUAUGGUUAGGAGAGAGAUGAAAUGUGAUAACCCUAACUGGAUGAACAGAAGCGAAAGCUAUAUACUUAAAUGUAUUAUUAGAACAAGGACGUAAGCUAGAGGAUCGAAGAUGAUUAGAUACCAUUGUAGUUCUAGCAGUAAACUAUGUUAAAUCAUAGAUAUAUUAUUUAUAUAUUUAUGUAGAGAAAUUAAGAUUAUAUUGACUCUGGGGAUAGUAUGAUCGCAAGAUUGAAAAUUAAAGAAAUUGACGGAAGAAUACCACAAGGAGUGGAUUGUGCGGCUUAAUUUGACUCAACGCGGGGUAAUUUACCAGGUAUAACAUGAUAUAAUAUUUAUCAUGAUAGUGGUGCAUGGCCGUUUCCAAUGGAUGCUGUGAAGUAAUGAUUAAUUUCAACAAGAUGUGAGACCCUCAUAUAGACAGAUGUAGUGAUACAUAUGAAGGAGAGGAUUAAAACAGGUCCGUUAUGCCCUAAGAUAAAUCUGGGUUGCACGCGCAAUACAAUAAUAUUUCAUAUUAUAAGGGAUAAUAUAAUGUAUGAUACAUUAGAAUGUAUUAUCUAAAGGUUGUUUUAAAAAGGUGUAUUGAAGAUUGUGUAUGGUCUAUGUUUGUUCUUUUAUUGGGUGCAGUUAGUAGUGUAUUAUUUUGAUGUUUAAGUAAGUAUUGCUGGGUGGAAUAGGUUAAGUUCUGAGAAAGGUUAUAAUUAAACGUUAGGAAAAUAAAGUU